rnacentral:tRNA from 1 species
ACAUGUAGUUCAAUGGUAGAACACUAGCUUCCCAAGCUGGAUACGCGGGUUCGAUUCCCGUCAUGUG